rnacentral:misc_RNA from 1 species
UCCGAGUUGACCCCGGCAGUCUCCUAUGAGUCCCCGCCAUAACGCGCUGGCAACAUAGAACGAGGGUUGCGCUCGUUGCGGGACUUAACCCAACAUCUCACGACACGAGCUGACGACAGCCAUGCAGCACCUGAACCAGGGGUCUCCGAAGAGAAGAUCUCAUCUCUGAGACUGUCCCCUGUUGUCUAGCCCAGGUAAGGUUCUUCGCGUUGCGUCGAAUUAAACCACACGCUCCGCUGCUUGUGCGGGCCCCCGUCAAUUCCUUUGAGUUUCAGCCUUGCGGCCGUACUCCCCAGGCGGGGUACUUCCUGCGUUAGCGCCGGCACCCAAGGGGUCGCUCCCCCAGGCACCUAGUACCCAUCGUUUACGGCGUGGACUAC